AACGAACGCUGGCGGCAUGCCUUACACAUGCAAGUCGAACGGCAGCACGGGAGCAAUCCUGGUGGCGAGUGGCGAACGGGUGAGUAAAGUAUCGGAACGUGCCCAGUCGUGGGGGAUAACGUAGCGAAAGUUACGCUAAUACCGCAUACGAUCUAUGGAUGAAAGCGGGGGAUCGCAAGACCUCGCGCGAUUGGAGCGGCCGGUAUCAGAUUAGGUAGUUGGUGGGGUAAAGGCUCACCAAGCCGACGAUCUGUAGCUGGUCUGAGAGGACGACCAGCCACACUGGGACUGAGACACGGCCCAGACCCCUACGGGAGGCAGCAGUGGGGAAUUUUGGACAAUAGGCGAAAGCCUGAUUCAGCCAUGCCGCGUGCAGGAUGAAGGCCGUCGGGUUGUAAACUGCGUUUGUACGGAACGAAAAGGUUUGGCCUAAUAAGCUGAGCUCAUGACGGUACCGUAAGAAUAAGCACCGGCUAACUACGUGCCAGCCGCCGCGGUAA
rnacentral:rRNA from 1 species